UCGAGCGUCAUUACAACCCUCAAGCACUGCUUGGUAUUGGGCUCUGCUGCUAAUACAGCGGGCCUUAAAAUUAGUGGCGGUGUCAUCAGACCCUGAGCGUAGUAAAUAUCCUCGCUAUAGGGACUUGGUGAUUAUUGGCCAGCAACCCCCAAUUUUCUAAGUUUGACCUCGGAUCAGGUAGGGAUACCCGCUGAACUUAA
rnacentral:misc_RNA from 1 species